rnacentral:piRNA from 1 species
UGGUUUAUGGUCCCUGCCUGGGCCUUGUGU